GUCACAAAGAAAUGUGACUAUCACAUGUCACAUUCUGGACAUAAAAAUGUGCGCUCAAAAGUCAAUUCUAACAUUUUUUUAUUCAUCGUCUAAUCAGAAUGUGACAUGUGACAACCACGUUUC
rnacentral:pre_miRNA from 1 species